UUAAACAAAAUUAUCAAAAGGAAAGAAAUUAAAACAGUUGAGACGGAGGAAGUGCUAAAGAAGGGAAGCUCCAAGCGUAACGUGUGAAGAAGAAAUUAAAAAGAGUCCUUCGAAAAUGUUUAAAAUGCACGCGCUCUUGUUAGUAUUAAAUAUUUAUUCGAACGUCAUUCCUCCUCCUAUUCUACAAAGCGUCAAUAACUUGCUUCUGAUUACCCUGUUGCAAUUUUUCUCUCCGAUUUCCCUACUGUACUUCUUCAUGGCAUAUGCAAGAGACAAUGCGGAUUGGGCAAAGUGACAAUUUACUACAAGCGACCAUGUGGAUACGGAGCCGACAAUGAGAUCGCUGCAAAUACGGCCGGCUUCUCGUGUCGCGUUUAACGCGCGUCUAUCGUCGACGAGGCCUUCAUAACCACGAUACUCUGCGAACCACAAAAGUCUGUGUCACGCCAAGUGCGUAAAUCACGCGGCUGAUAGACGCGAUGCGAGGCAAUCCACUUUCUGGGGCGAUAUUGCCCGCAUCCCUCGUGCGUUAAUCGUGAUUAAUUCGGCUUAUCGCCUUGCUAAACGCUAAUCUUACGAGACAAACUCAACAGACCGAUAAACGUGGUAAGAAUUGGACGAUCACGUAUUGCAACGAUCUCACUACCCAUAGACCGUAUCCCGUUUGUAUUCAAAUUCCGAAUCAAAUCCGAAACAAAAUU